UCCGUAAAUGAAUUGGUAGGUCAUUCCACAAUGUAGCUCCAGCUCGGUCGAAUCGUCUUUCACCGUAUGUUUUAGUGCGGACAUCUCUUGGAUUCGUUAUGAGUCCUUCAUUUUCUGACCGAAGUGUUCUAAUAGGAGCGUAUGGUACAAUCAGUUCUUUCAAAUAUUUAGGUGCUUUAUCGUGUAAUGCCUUAAAAACGUAAAGUAAAAGUUUAAAAUGUGAUCGGUAUUUCACGGGGAGCCAAUGUAGCUGCAUCAGAACAGGUGUUAUAGAGUCAAACUUCCUUUUUCUUGUGAUAAGUCUAGCUGCUGUGUUUUGAACGCGUUGUAGUCUUGCUAUAGUGGAAGAGUUAACAUUAUAUAGCAAAGCGUUCCCAUAGUCUAAUCUGGAGGUGACAAGAGAGCAGACUAGUGUCUUACACGCAUUUUCGGUGAUAUACGAUCUAAUGUUUCCGAUGGUUCGAAUCUGGUGGUAACAUGAUUUUGAGACGGCUGUUACCUGCUGUUCCAUACUCAAGUCUUAUCAAAGAAACACUCCUAGAUUCCUAACGCAGUUCGCAUCACUUAAAAUAGUGCCAUCGAAGGGUAGCUCAUACUUGGAUAACUGUUUGACUCGAUGUUUCGGAGCAAAGACGAUGAGCUCUGUUUUGUCCUGAUUUAGUUUCAGCAUAUUUGAUGUCAUCCAAUCGCUUAUCUCUGACAAACACGCUUUCAAACGGUCGGAUAGAUCGUCCCAAUCACCUUCCGGUUUAAUCACUUGAUAUGCCUGAGUGUCGUCGGCAUACGAGUGGUUAAAGCAUUUUAUGUCGCCUGCAUAUUUUACCAACAGGUUUCGAGUACAUGCAGUAUAACUUUGGUCCUAGAACAGAGCCUUGAGGCACACCAUAUUGAAGACGUAGAUCGUCAGAUUGUUUGGUGCCAAUGGCAACUCGCUGAGUUCUAUCUUUCAAGUAAGACUCGAUCCACGAUAAGGCGCUAUCAGAGACUCCGAAAGAAUAGUUCAGACGUUCUAGUAAAAUUUUGUGGUCAAUAACAUCAAAUGCGGCCGAAAGAUCGAGCAUCAGAAGUACAACACAACUGUUUUUGUCCAGUGCAGAAACUAUAUCGUGGUGAACACGUAGAAGAGCUGUUUCUGUAGAAUGACGAGCUCGGUAUGCAGAUUGCAAAUUUUCGUGCAGAUUAUUCGAUUCUAUGUGGUGAUCAAGCCGAGAGGAAACAACUUUUUCCGAGACCUUCGACAAAAACGGAAGGUUUGACACUGGACGGUAGUUUUUUAACACUUCACGAUCUAGACUAGGUUUCUUCAGCAAUGGUCGAACGAUAGCUUGCUUAAAU
rnacentral:lncRNA from 1 species